AGCAGCCGCGGUAAUUCCAGCUCCAAUAGCGUAUAUUAAAGUUGUUGCAGUUAAAAAGCUCGUAGUUGAAUUUCGGGGUUAGUAGGUUGGUCAUGCCUCUGGUAUGUACUGGUCUCACUGAUUCCUCCUUCCUGAUGAACCUUAAUGCCAUUUAUUUGGUGUUUUGGGGAAUUUGGACUGUUACUUUGAAAAAAUUAGAGUGUUUAAAGCAAGCUAACGCUUGAAUACAUUAGCAUGGAAUAAUGAAAUAGGACGUUCGAUCCUAUUUUGUUGGUUUCUAGGAUUGACGUAAUGAUUAAUAGGGAUAGUUGGGGGCAUUAGUAUUCAAUUGUCAGAGGUGAAAUUCUUGGAUUUAUUGAAGACUAACUACUGCGAAAGCAUUUGCCAAGGAUGUUUUCAUUAAUCAAGAACGAAAGUUAGGGGAUCGAAGACGAUCAGAUACCGUCGUAGUCUUAACCAUAAACUAUGCCGACUAGGGAUCGGAUGAUGUUAAUUUUUUAAUGUACUCAUUCGGCGCCUU
rnacentral:rRNA from 1 species